GCAUCAAUGGGGUAGCGGUAACCUGGGUCGUUAACCUAUGUUUGCCAGAGAACGUGUUUCCGACAUGCCGAGGGUUCGAUUCCCGCUUGAUGCA
rfam:Stereum hirsutum FP-91666 SS1 unplaced genomic scaffold STEHIscaffold_4, whole genome shotgun sequence.